rnacentral:rRNA from 1 species
GACGAACGCUGGCGGCGUGCUUAACACAUGCAAGUCGAACGGAAAGGCCCUGCUUUUGUGGGGUGCUCGAGUGGCGAACGGGUGAGUAACACGUGAGUAACCUGCCCUUGACUUUGGGAUAACUUCAGGAAACUGGGGCUAAUACCGGAUAGGAGCUCCUGCUGCAUGGUGGGGGUUGGACCGUUUCGGCGGUUGGGGAUGGACUCGCGGCUUAUCAGCUUGUUGGUGGGGUAGUGGCUUACCAAGGCUUUGACGGGUAGCCGGCCUGAGAGGGUGACCGGCCACAGUGGGACUGAGAUACGGCCCAGACUCCUACGGGAGGCAGCAGGGGGGAAUAGGGCACAAUGGGCGGAAGCCGGAUGCAGCAACGCCGCGUGCGGGAUGACGGCCGUCGGGGUGUAAACCGCUUUCGCCGGUGACGAAGCGGGAGUGACGGUAAUGGGUAAAGAAGCACCGGCUAACUACGUG